GGGGGAUACCCGGCCAGGCCCGCUGGGUUAUCCCGGGAUCUCGCGCCUCCGCCGCUUCCCCGGGCCCCGCACGGGCCGUGGGAGCAGUUGGGGCGCUGAGGGCUGCAGGGACAGAGCAUCGUUUCCCAAAGGCAUCGCUGUCCCCAGGGGGAACAGGGCGUUUGCUGGGCUGAGACUCCCUAUUUCUGAAUCAGAAUCCUUCCCGACGCCUCCUUGCCCGUGCCAUGACGCCCGUGGCGCCGUGGCAUGGAGCGAGGGCCGCGGGAGUGCAGCCGUAUGGAAGUCUCGUGUCCUUCUCAGCCUCAUACUUCCUCACCCCUUUAUUUUUUUUAAUUGGUUUGGUGAAUGGACCGCUGCCAUGGAGACAUCAGGCGUGGCCAGAAAUAGCUAACGAGGCAGAACUGGAAAGGGGAGUGUGGCCAGUACUAAAGCGGGGAGGGAAAAAGCGAUUUUAGCCGCUGAUGUGUGAGAUGCGAGCAGGAGGGAGAGGAGCCCCGACGGGAGGGAUGAGGGGCCGCAGCCAUGAAGGUCUGGAGGCAGAGUGGUGCUUUGUGGGGUGGAACUGUAUGGGCCAGGUCGGGAAGGACAUCCUUCGCCUGCCUCUUUGUCAUGGAAUUCUUCAAAAAGUCCUCCAGGCAGUUAUAAAUGCAUGCAAAAUACAGAGGGUUUCUUUUGUUUUGGUUUUUUGUUUGUUUGUUUUGUUUUUUGUUUACUUGGAUUUGGGUUCGUUUGGUUUUUUUACAGUAAAACAAAGGAAACUAGGGACAAAGGCAUUGUUUGCAGUAUGUCUUGAAGAUAAAAAAAAGGCUCCUGCUUCAGACAUAAUGGCUGACUUUUUUUAUAGAUGAGGAUCCUCCUCUGCACUCCCAAGCUGCCUCCCAAGGCAGCUGAGGGGCACUAAGGACUGGAGUGUCCAAUUAACAAUGUUUGUAAUAGGUUGUCAUGAGGAAAUGGGGCCUAACUAUCUGAGCAAAUGUCUAAUGUUUUCACUGCUCUAUCUAUCCUCACAGUAUUCCAUUGUUAUUUUACAAAUAGUGUUUUGAAAAAGGUUAAUGUGGAUUAUAACUGCUGCCUAGACUGGAAGAACUAUCCUACCUGACUGUUUUAACAAAAAACUAUACUGGCAGUUGUGAUACCCAUUUAUACUUCUCAAACCUUUUACAUAAACUUCAGUACUGAGAGUAGUUCCUGAACUGAUCCUUCAAUAAACUAAUCCUUCAAUAAAGUUAACUAAAUGCAGCAGAGGAUAAAUUUCACUCCAUGGAGAAAAAUAAAUGUUGUGAUCAUGUAUUUAAAAAAUGGGUCAUGCCAAGAUGUAUUCAAGUUUUUGAUGCACCACUGUCCCACAGUCCACCAAAAACAGUUUGAGGAGGCUGCUAGGAGGAACAUCUUAGGGGAAGUGGAGGUUAAAAUUAUUUUUAAUUAUCUGGUAUUCCUUUCUUUUAUUUAGAAGAAAGCCUUUCAUUUUCUCUGAGCAUUUUCACUCCAACGAGAUUAAAAAAUAAGAACUUCUGAGUGGUAAUCUAGAUGGUUUAAUAAGUAAAAAUUCUUUAUAAGUAUUUUCUUCUGGGUUUCCUACCUUUAUAUAGUGUUUUUUUCUUCUUCAGCCUGCCUUUUAAAAUUUCUUAAAUAUAUUUCUUUUCUUGUUGCUGUAUAACAGGCUUGAUUCCUUUUCUCCUUGUGCUUCCUUUUUAAGCUUCCUUCUCCCUUUCCUCAUUAACUUUUUUUUCCUUGUGUGUAGUUUUUUCUCUCCUAGAUUAGGUGUAGAUUAGGAUGAAGUUUUUACUGGAUGGAACAUGAACAUAGCAUCCAUGUAGAUGCAGAGGAACACUACAGCUCGGUGUUAGCAGGUUACAGAAAGCACAGGCUUUUUUUUGCUAAUCCUUAAGUACUUUUAUGUGCCACAGACACCAUGGCAGCCUGGGGAAUCCCUGUCCUUCUCUGUUACUGACUAGCACUCUCAAUACAGAGCCCAGGGAAGCUGGAGGACAUCCUCCUCAGUUUUCUGCAUGUUCAUGAGAAAGCUUGUCAUCCAUAGUACUGCAGGAGGAAUUUCUGCUGUUUCCACCAGCAAGGGUGAAAAUGGGAUUUUAAUUUGUACCCUAUCACUGGUGGACAUAAUACCAUUGAGCAGUGUUUAGUGAUUUAUGGGUUUAUCUGUUUAAAUUUCUAACAAUCACCUCCCAAUCAUGAACUGUUUCUGUGUUUCAGGGCUGAUGAUGUGUUCCCUCAGUAGCAGAUAAUGUAAAUGAAAGAGGCAGAAACAGACGAGCAGUCAGCUCUUCAAGAAGCAUUUGGACAAUGCUCUCAGGCACAUGAUGUGAUUCUUGGGGAUGGUCCUGUGUGGGUCCAGGAGUAGCUAAAUCCAGCACACCAGUCACAGGAGAUCAAUGACAAAUGCUGAGCAGCACAUCUCACUAAUGCAAAUAUGUGAAAUGCUGGCCACUGUCUGUAGGUGAUCUAUUCAGCUGCUGGAUCUAAUUGUUUGUUUUAACUAAACCCAUUUCCUGGUGUUCUGAAGUAAGUCCUCUCCUCCCUACUUAAUCAAUACUUCCUCAAAAGAAAUUCUAAUUGUUCUUCAUUUGUUUGCUUUCUGUUUAGGCAUGUUGCGUGUGGCAGGAUGCUACAUAAAAAUCCAAUUAAGUUAUAUACAUUUUCACCCAUGUGAUUCUCAUCACAAAUUGUUCCCCAUUUUUUCCAUGCCCUCAGGUGACGUAGCCCCAUGGAAUUAUUCAGACUUUCAUCCAGCAGUGCAGUUUCAGUACUUUAUUUUGAAAGUCUCUUAAUACCUAGUUUAAGACAAGAGAACAAAUUAAAUGUAAAGUGUUCUUUAUUAAAUAACUCAAAAGGUAAAGCAAACUGUGCAGUUAAGAAAGACAACAAUGUGGCCAAAGGAUUUUUACAGCAGAAAACAAACAGCGGCGUAUGAGCAUUUCAGUCUAGCAGCCAAACUGUCCUCAUUUUUGUGGAGCUAAUUUCGGUCUUCAAAUUGUGACUUGUUUUUUAAAAGAUAUGCUGCUAGAAAUUCAAUGGGAUUUGGCGGUCUGUAAAGAAAAAAAAGCAAAUCAAAAGCAAUUAUUUUUUGUUAUAUGAAAUUAGGUAGCUGAAGAACUAAUCACCAUCCCUUAAAAGAAACAUAACUCCUCCCAAACACUUACAAGCAUUGAUUUAGGGAUGACUGACUACCUAGAGUGACUCUGAAUUUCCAGUUUAUGUCUAAUGAGAAAGUUUUUAAAAAGCGGUCUUAGUCUCUGUUAGUUCAAUAUUACUAAAUUGCUAUGGUUAUAUAUCUAAAACUAGGGUAUAGUCUGUAAGUAUAAAUACGGUAUGUUCACGAUUAGAUGUGACAUGCAUUUGCCUAUUUCUUUGACUCAUGCUAUAUAAAGUAAAACUGAAUCUGUCAGUGCCUUUUUGCUUCAUUUUCUUCAAGCGGUUAUCGUGUAGCUUUGUGGAUUAAAGUUGUUUUCAUGGUUUCUGGCAACCAAAAUGAACACAACAAAACUUUAAGUUUAAGAAGUGCUGUAACUUGCAAGUAGUCAAUAAUAAACACUUCUGAUCACUGGC